rnacentral:rRNA from 1 species
GACGAACGCUGGCGGCGUGCUUAACACAUGCAAGUCGAACGGAAAGGCCCUGCUUUUGUGGGGUGCUCGAGUGGCGAACGGGUGAGUAACACGUGAGUAACCUGCCCUUGACUUUGGGAUAACUUCAGGAAACUGGGGCUAAUACCGGAUAGGAGCUCCUGCUGCAUGGUGGGGGUUGGAAAGUUUCGGCGGUUGGGGAUGGACUCGCGGCUUAUCAGCUUGUUGGUGGGGUAGUGGCUUACCAAGGCUUUGACGGGUAGCCGGCCUGAGAGGGUGACCGGCCACAUUGGGACUGAGAUACGGCCCAGACUCCUACGGGAGGCAGCAGUGGGGAAUAUUGCACAAUGGGCGGAAGCCUGAUGCAGCAACGCCGCGUGCGGGAUGACGGCCUUCGGGUUGUAAACCGCUUUCGCCUGUGACGAAGCGUGAGUGACGGUAAUGGGUAAAGAAGCACCGGCUAACUACGUGCCAGCAGCCGCGGUGAUACGUAGGGUGCGAGCGUUGUCCGGAUUUAUUGGGCGUAAAGGGCUCGUAGGUGGUUGAUCGCGUCGGAAGUGUAAUCUUGGGGCUUAACCCUGAGCGUGCUUUCGAUACGGGUUGACUUGAGGAAGGUAGGGGAGAAUGGAAUUCCUGGUGGAGCGGUGGAAUGCGCAGAUAUCAGGAGGAACACCAGUGGCGAAGGCGGUUCUCUGGGCCUUUCCUGACGCUGAGGAGCGAAAGCGUGGGGAGCGAACAGGCUUAGAUACCCUGGUAGUCCACGCUGUAAACGGUGGGUACUAGGUGUGGGGUCCAUUCCACGGGUUCCGUGCCGUAGCUAACGCUUUAAGUACCCCGCCUGGGGAGUACGGCCGCAAGGCUAAAACUCAAAGGAAUUGACGGGGCCCCGCACAAGCGGCGGAGCAUGCGGAUUAAUUCGAUGCAACGCGUAGAACCUUACCUGGGUUUGACAUGGAUCGGGAGUGCUCAGAGAUGGGUGUGCCUCUUUUGGGGUCGGUUCACAGGUGGUGCAUGGCUGUCGUCAGCUCGUGUCGUGAGAUGUUGGGUUAAGUCCCGCAACGAGCGCAACCCUUGUUCACUGUUGCCAGCACGUUAUGGUGGGGACUCAGUGGAGACCGCCGGGGUCAACUCGGAGGAAGGUGGGGAUGACGUCAAGUCAUCAUGCCCCUUAUGUCCAGGGCUUCACGCAUGCUACAAUGGCUGGUACAGAGAGUGGCGAGCCUGUGAGGGUGAGCGAAUCUCGGAAAGCCGGCCUCAGUUCGGAUUGGGGUCUGCAACUCGACCUCAUGAAGUCGGAGUCGCUAGUAAUCGCAGAUCAGCAACGCUGCGGUGAAUACGUUCCCGGG